GGGUUGUGAGGUUAAGCGACUAAGCGUACACGGUGGAUGCCCUGGCAGUCAGAGGCGAUGAAGGACGUGCUAAUCUGCGAUAAGCGUCGGUAAGGUGAUAUGAACCGUUAUAACCGGCGAUUUCCGAAUGGGGAAACCCAGUGUGAUUCGUCACACUAUCAUUAACUGAAUCCAUAGGUUAAUGAGGCGAACCGGGGGAACUGAAACAUCUAAGUACCCCGAGGAAAAGAAAUCAACCGAGAUUCCCCCAGUAGCGGCGAGCGAACGGGGAGCAGCCCAGAGCCUGAAUCAGUGUGUGUGUUAGUGGAAGCGUCUGGAAAGGCGCGCGAUACAGGGUGACAGCCCCGUACACAAAAAUGCACAUACUGUGAGCUCGAUGAGUAGGGCGGGACACGUGGUAUCCUGUCUGAAUAUGGGGGGACCAUCCUCCAAGGCUAAAUACUCCUGACUGACCGAUAGUGAACCAGUACCGUGAGGGAAAGGCGAAAAGAACCCCGGCGAGGGGAGUGAAAAAGAACCUGAAACCGUGUACGUACAAGCAGUGGGAGCACGCUUAGGCGUGUGACUGCGUACCUUUUGUAUAAUGGGUCAGCGACUUAUAUUCUGUAGCAAGGUUAACCGAAUAGGGGAGCCGAAGGGAAACCGAGUCUUAACUGGGCGUUAAGUUGCAGGGUAUAGACCCGAAACCCGGUGAUCUAGCCAUGGGCAGGUUGAAGGUUGGGUAACACUAACUGGAGGACCGAACCGACUAAUGUUGAAAAAUUAGCGGAUGACUUGUGGCUGGGGGUGAAAGGCCAAUCAAACCGGGAGAUAGCUGGUUCUCCCCGAAAGCUAUUUAGGUAGCGCCUCGUGAAUUCAUCUCCGGGGGUAGAGCACUGUUUCGGCAAGGGGGUCAUCCCGACUUACCAACCCGAUGCAAACUGCGAAUACCGGAGAAUGUUAUCACGGGAGACACACGGCGGGUGCUAACGUCCGUCGUGAAGAGGGAAACAACCCAGACCGCCAGCUAAGGUCCCAAAGUCAUGGUUAAGUGGGAAACGAUGUGGGAAGGCCCAGACAGCCAGGAUGUUGGCUUAGAAGCAGCCAUCAUUUAAAGAAAGCGUAAUAGCUCACUGGUCGAGUCGGCCUGCGCGGAAGAUGUAACGGGGCUAAACCAUGCACCGAAGCUGCGGCAGCGACGCUGAUGCGUUGUUGGGUAGGGGAGCGUUCUGUAAGCCUGUGAAGGUGUGCUGUGAGGCAUGCUGGAGGUAUCAGAAGUGCGAAUGCUGACAUAAGUAACGAUAAAGCGGGUGAAAAGCCCGCUCGCCGGAAGACCAAGGGUUCCUGUCCAACGUUAAUCGGGGCAGGGUGAGUCGACCCCUAAGGCGAGGCCGAAAGGCGUAGUCGAUGGGAAACAGGUUAAUAUUCCUGUACUUGGUGUUACUGCGAAGGGGGGACGGAGAAGGCUAUGUUGGCCGGGCGACGGUUGUCCCGGUUUAAGCGUGUAGGCUGGUUUUCCAGGCAAAUCCGGAAAAUCAAGGCUGAGGCGUGAUGACGAGGCACUACGGUGCUGAAGCAACAAAUGCCCUGCUUCCAGGAAAAGCCUCUAAGCAUCAGGUAACAUCAAAUCGUACCCCAAACCGACACAGGUGGUCAGGUAGAGAAUACCAAGGCGCUUGAGAGAACUCGGGUGAAGGAACUAGGCAAAAUGGUGCCGUAACUUCGGGAGAAGGCACGCUGAUAUGUAGGUGAAGCGACUUGCUCGUGGAGCUGAAAUCAGUCGAAGAUACCAGCUGGCUGCAACUGUUUAUUAAAAACACAGCACUGUGCAAACACGAAAGUGGACGUAUACGGUGUGACGCCUGCCCGGUGCCGGAAGGUUAAUUGAUGGGGUCAGCGCAAGCGAAGCUCUUGAUCGAAGCCCCGGUAAACGGCGGCCGUAACUAUAACGGUCCUAAGGUAGCGAAAUUCCUUGUCGGGUAAGUUCCGACCUGCACGAAUGGCGUAAUGAUGGCCAGGCUGUCUCCACCCGAGACUCAGUGAAAUUGAACUCGCUGUGAAGAUGCAGUGUACCCGCGGCAAGACGGAAAGACCCCGUGAACCUUUACUAUAGCUUGACACUGAACAUUGAGCCUUGAUGUGUAGGAUAGGUGGGAGGCUUUGAAGUGUGGACGCCAGUCUGCAUGGAGCCGACCUUGAAAUACCACCCUUUAAUGUUUGAUGUUCUAACGUUGACCCGUAAUCCGGGUUGCGGACAGUGUCUGGUGGGUAGUUUGACUGGGGCGGUCUCCUCCUAAAGAGUAACGGAGGAGCACGAAGGUUGGCUAAUCCUGGUCGGACAUCAGGAGGUUAGUGCAAUGGCAUAAGCCAGCUUGACUGCGAGCGUGACGGCGCGAGCAGGUGCGAAAGCAGGUCAUAGUGAUCCGGUGGUUCUGAAUGGAAGGGCCAUCGCUCAACGGAUAAAAGGUACUCCGGGGAUAACAGGCUGAUACCGCCCAAGAGUUCAUAUCGACGGCGGUGUUUGGCACCUCGAUGUCGGCUCAUCACAUCCUGGGGCUGAAGUAGGUCCCAAGGGUAUGGCUGUUCGCCAUUUAAAGUGGUACGCGAGCUGGGUUUAGAACGUCGUGAGACAGUUCGGUCCCUAUCUGCCGUGGGCGCUGGAGAACUGAGGGGGGCUGCUCCUAGUACGAGAGGACCGGAGUGGACGCAUCACUGGUGUUCGGGUUGUCAUGCCAAUGGCACUGCCCGGUAGCUAAAUGCGGAAGAGAUAAGUGCUGAAAGCAUCUAAGCACGAAACUUGCCCCGAGAUGAGUUCUCCCUGACUCCUUGAGAGUCCUGAAGGAACGUUGAAGACGACGACGUUGAUAGGCCGGGUGUGUAAGCGCAGCGAUGCGUUGAGCUAACCGGUACUAAUGAACCGUGAGGCUUAACCUUACAACGCCGAAGCUGUU
rnacentral:rRNA from 2 species